rnacentral:tRNA from 1 species
ACGGGUGUAGCUCAAUCGGUAGAGCAACGGUCUCCAAAGCCGUGUGUUGCGGGUUCGACUCCUGCCGCCCGUGC